rnacentral:tRNA from 1 species
AAAUAAAUAACUAACCUAAAGUGUGUUAUUUACAAUAACAAAAUGAUUUAUAAUCUUUAUUUU